rnacentral:tRNA from 1 species
AGGAUAAUAGUUAAAUUAACAUUUAAUUUGCAUUUAAAAAAUACUGAGGCUCAGUUUAUCUUA